rnacentral:lncRNA from 1 species
GUGAAAUUUGUUUGUACUGUAACAGACUGAUUUUUAAAUCACAGACUCAUGUGGAAUGGUUGAUGCAGAGGGCACACCUGGAGAUCAGGUUGCUCAGGGCUGGGGCCAGUUGGGUUUUGGAUGUCCCUGAGGAUGGAGACCCCAAUAGUUUACCUGUUGACCUGUCCCUGGGCACCAGUGAGACGAGUGUGGCUGUAUCUCCUCCAUUCCCUGCCAUCAGGUACAUCACAGGCACUGUGACAGCAUGAGGCAGCAGAAGAUUCAAGUUGUAUCAAGAGAAUCAGGAGCUGAGAAUAAGGGAAAGAUGCCUCUUGUAACAGCAGCAAAUCUGGCCCAGAGCCUUUCUCAAGAGGAGCCUUGUUUUUGGCUUCAUCCUCCUCCACAUCAUGUGUCAGCUCUGGCACCAGCUCAGCGUGACAAGCAACUUCUAAAAUACAUAGCCAAGCUCACAGAUCCUCCCCUUGCAUGUGCUGGGAUAAACUUUAGAGAAAAUAUUCCUUUUGGCUCUGAGCCUCCUCUCCACUGUUCUCCUGUUUCCUAACUUCAACAUUCAGAAGGACACUGGAGUCCUCCUCCCCUUCACCAGUGGCUGUCUCCUUUGGAAAAGCCUGGAUGAGACGUGUUCAGAGAGAGCAAGGACACUAAGCCAGGCUUGGCCAGGCUGUGACCAGUGUGCCCCUCCUGAGGCUGAGGGACCAGCUGGGGAGGUGACACAGCACCACCCUGCCACUUUCACAUGACAGCCCUGAGCUUCUACAUGAGCUUCUACAUACAGAUUACAGAUGUCACACAGGCUCAUGGCUGGCAUUAAAGACAGCAGCUGCUGUCUGAGUGCAGGCAUGAACUAAUUUAGUCUUUGAAGUGAGCUGUGACAAGCUUCAAACAGAGAAGAGGCUUAACCACAAAAAUUCAAAUAAGAUCUAGUGUAUUGCAGCAUACAACUGUCCAAAAUGUGUCACAGCUCUCUGGCUUUCUGUUUGGUGAAAGGAAAUAGCCCAAGCUCCUGACAAAACCCAUCAGCAAAGGUGAUGGGAGCUGUGAUGCAGGAGCAGAAGCACAGGGAGAUUCAAACACAUGCUGAAGAAAGAGCUGGAGAAGCUAAGCAAUGAGGAAACCAGCAUUUGCCCUUUGAGUAACAGUGAUGAAAUGCAGUCUAGGUGACUGGACUCACAUCUUGGGGGCUGACAUGGCACCUCCAACUUGUGUGACUCGGUACUGGUGUCACCAGGUGCCACAGUUCAGGCUCCUGUUGCUAUCACCAUUUGGCUGAGGAGAUACAGGUUAUGAG